UACGGAAGGGGCAAGCGUUGUUCGGAAUCAUUGGGCGUAAAGGGCGCGUAGGUGGUUCUGUAUGUCUACCGUGAAAGCGUACGGCUCAACCGUAUUUUGUCGGUAGAAACUGCAGGACUUGAGGCUGGGAGGGGCUGGUGGAAUUCCUGGUGUAGCGGUGGAAUGCGCAGAUAUCAGGAGGAACACCAGUGGCGAAGGCGGUGCUCUGGGCCGGAACUGACGCUGAGGGGCGAAAGCGUGGGGAGCAAACAGG
rnacentral:rRNA from 1 species